CACGUAGGGCGCGAGCGUUGUCCGGAAUUAUUGGGCGUAAAGAGCUCGUAGGCGGCCUGUUGCGUCCGCUGUGAAAGCCCGGGGCUUAACCCCGGGUCUGCAGUGGAUACGGGCAGACUAGAGGUAGGUAGGGGAGAAUGGAAUUCCCGGUGUAGCGGUGAAAUGCGUAGAUAUCGGAAGGAACACCAGUGGCGAAGGCGGCUACCUGGCAUGAUACUGACACUGAGGCGCGAAAGCGUGGGGAGCAAACAGG
rnacentral:rRNA from 1 species